rnacentral:rRNA from 1 species
AUACGGAGGAUCCGAGCGUUAUCCGGAUUUAUUGGGUUUAAAGGGAGCGUAGAUGGAUGUUUAAGUCUGAUGUGAAAGUUUGCGGCUCAACCGUAAAAUUGCAGUUGAUACUGGAUAUCUUGAGUUCAGUUGAGGCAGGCUGAAUUAGUGGUGUAGCGGAGCAAUGCUUAGAUAUCACGAAGAACUCCGAUUGCGAAGGCAGCCUGCUAAGCUGCAACUGACAUUGAGGCUCGAAAGUGUGGGUAUCAAACAGGAUUAGAUACCCUGGUAGUCCACACGGUAAACGAUGAAUACUCGCUGUUUGCGAUAUACAGUAAGCGGCCAAGCGAAAGCAUUAAGUAUUCCACCUGGGGAGUACGCCGGCAACGGUGAAACUCAAAUGAAUUGGCGGGG